CCCUGGUUAGCUCAGUUGGUAGAGCGGUCCACCUGUAAUGGAGAGGUUCCGGGUUCGAUCCGCGGAUCAGGUG
rnacentral:tRNA from 1 species